rnacentral:rRNA from 1 species
GAUGAACGCUAGCGGCAGGCCUAACACAUGCAAGUCGAGGGGCAGCACAGAAACAGCAAUGUUUUGGUGGCGACCGGCGGACGGGUGCGUAACGCGUCUGCAACCAACCUUUAACAGGGGGAUAACGGAGAGAAAUUUCCACUAAUACCCCAUAACAUCGAUCAAGGCAUCUUGAUUGGUUGAAAACUCCGGUGGUUAAAGAUGGGCAUGCGUUGUAUUAGGUAGUUGGUGAGGUAAUGGCUCACCAAGCCUACGAUACAUAGGGGGACUGAGAGGUUAGCCCCCCACACUGGUACUGAGACACGGACCAGACUCCUACGGGAGGCAGCAGUGAGGAAUAUUGGUCAAUGGGGGCAACCCUGAGCCAGCCAUGCCGCGUGCAGGAAGACGGCUCUAUGAGUUGUAAACUGCUUUUAAACAGGGAUAAAGCACAGUAUGUAUACUGUGUUGAAGGUACUGUAAGAAUAAGGAUCGGCUAACUCCGUGCCAGCCGCCGCCGUAA